CGGGAUAGCUCAGCUGGUAGAGCAGAGGACU
rnacentral:tRNA from 3 species